rnacentral:rRNA from 1 species
UACGUAGGGGGCAAGCGUUGUCCGGAUUUAUUGGGCGUAAAGAGCGUGUAGGCGGUCUGGUAGGUCCGUUGUGAAAACUCGAGGCUCAACCUCGAGACGCCGAUGGAAACCCUCAGACUAGAGUCCGGAAGAGGAGAGUGGAAUUCCUGGUGUAGCGGUGAAAUGCGCAGAUAUCAGGAGGAACACCAGUGGCGAAGGCGGUGCUCUGGGCCGGAACUGACGCUGAGGAGCGAAAGCGUGGGGAGCAAACAGG